rnacentral:rRNA from 1 species
GAUGAACGCUGGCGGCGUGCUUAACACAUGCAAGUCGAACGAAGCACUCAGAUCUCUUCGGAGUGAUGAGUGACUGAGUGGCGGACGGGUGAGUAACGCGUGGGUAACCUGCCUUGUACAGGGGGACAACAGUUGGAAACGACUGCUAAUACCGCAUAAGCGCACAGCUUCGCAUGAAGCAGUGUGAAAAGCUGAGGCGGUACAAGAUGGACCCGCGUUGGAUUAGCUAGUUGGUGGGGUAACGGCCUACCAAGGCGACGAUCCAUAGCCGACCUGAGAGGGUGAUCGGCCACAUUGGGACUGAGACACGGCCCAAACUCCUACGGGAGGCAGCAGUGGGGAAUAUUGCACAAUGGGCGAAAGCCUGAUGCAGCGACGCCGCGUGAGCGAUGAAGUAUUUCGGUAUGUAAAGCUCUAUCAGCAGGGAAGAAAAUGACGGUACCUGACUAAGAAGCUCCGGCUAAAUACGUGCCAGCAGCCGCCGUAACAC